rnacentral:rRNA from 1 species
AUUGAACGCUGGCGGCAGGCCUAACACAUGCAAGUCGAGCGGAGCGGCGGACGGGCGAGUAAUGCCUAGGAAUCUGCCUGGCAGUGGGGGAUAACGUCCGGAAACGGGCGCUAAUACCGCACACUAUCAGAUGAGCCUAGGUCGGAUUAGCUAGUUGGUGGGUUAAAGGCAUACCAGGGCGACGAUCCGUAACUGGUCUGAGAGGGUGAUCAGUCACACUGGAACUGAAGCCCGGUCCCGAUGCGUACGGGAGGCAGCAGUGGGGAAUGUUGGACAUUGGGCGAAAUCCUGAUCCAGCCCGUCCGCGUGUGUGAAGAGGGUCUUCGGAUUGUAAAGCUCUUUAAGUUGGGAGGCGUUACCAACAGAAUAAGCACCGGCUAACUUCGUGCCAGCAGCCGCGGUAAUAC